CAGGACAUUUAUAGACACUCUAGCUUCUUCUGUGCAUUACACAUUUCCUCUCUCUACGAUCAUCAAGAACUACAGACGGUGAAGAGAAAAGAUGGCGAAAUCUCCUGGAAGAAAAGCACCCACAAAAGGCCCUGGAGUCCUCUCUACUUCCCAUUUCUCCAUAAGGUUAUUUUCGAAUCUUUGGUUGUUUCCUGGUGGAUUUCUGGUGCGGGUUGCUUGGUCUAUCUUAUUUUAUUCUGCUCCCUCUUUCUAGUGUUUUCUCCCUCUCUGUGAUGGCUCCUCUACCGCUACCAUGCUUCUUCCCUGGUUUUCUAGGCUCCUGUGGCAUCAUUCUUCUGCUUCUAGUUUGCUUUGAUGGUGGCUGGCUCUCCCUGGCGCUUCUGCUUUCUUCUGCCGCCUUCCUCUCUGGGUUCCUCCAUGUAGUGUUUGCUGCAUUGGCUGUUCUUGUGGUCUUGCUCCUGUUCUGGGUUGCAGCUCCUGUUUCCUUUCUGUCUCAGCUUUGUACCUCUAAUGCGUCUGCUGUUUGUGCUGGAUGAGUUUUUUCUUUUGUCUUCCUACUGGAUAAGAGUUGUUUGCUUCUCAUCUUUCCUGCCAGUGCCUAUGCUUAUGGUUCUGCUCUGCAAUGCUUUCUUGUUGGUGGGCUUUGUUGUGGUCCAGCAAAUCACGCUCCCUGAAAUGGUUGCUUUCUCUCUCCUGUGUUCUGGUUGCUGUUUUUUUGUUGGGCCGUUGUUGCUUUUAUUGUUUUUGCAGGGUGAGAAUUUUCUUCACGGUGUAAUUAUUAAUUUUGAGUUGCAAAGUGUGGGUUGAUAUGAAGUUACUGCACUUUUGAUUAGAGAGCCUAAUUGACCCUUUUACCCUUUUAGUAAUAAAAGGGAACAAACGAGGUCUCCUCUCUAUGAAAUAUAUUAACGCAUAAUUUUAAUUGGCA